UGACGUCCCCCCGGCCUCCUAGGUCUAAGAAGUGGGUAGGUGUGAUUCGCCCCCAUUUUACAGAUGAGAAAACUAAGGGCUAAAACCAUUUUCCCUGAGUAACAUAGCUAGUGAGUUUCUUAGUUUGACUGCAAACGUUGAUGUUUUAACCACUAACCUGUAUUUCUCUCUUAGGGGCUGAUAUUUAGAUACUUAAACUUCCUUUUGAACCCACCUCCCUCUUGGGUCUAAAAGCUAUGUCAGGUGGGUUUAAAUGGGACAAAGGGAGCUCAUCCUGUGACCCUUGGCCACUGAAGAACGUUUAAAACAGAGGAUGGCAUGUUGUUUCUAUGAGUAAUGGCCCCCCAAGAGAUGUCCAUGCCCUGGUCCCAGGACCUGAGGGUGAAUAUGCUGCCUUCCAUGUCAAGAGGGACUUUGUAGCUAAGAUUGAAGCUUAGGACCAUGAGCUGGGGUUAUCGAUCUUGGGUCAUCUAUGUGGGCCCCAUGUAAUCAUGGGGGUCCUUGAAAGUGGAGGAGGGAGGCCAUAGAGUCAGAGAAGGAGGUAUCCUGGUGGAAGCAGGGUCAGAGGUGCCAUGUUGCUGUAUUUGAAGAUGGAGGAAGGGAGCCACUUCUGGAAGGUAGAACAGGCAAGGAAACGGACUUUUCUUAGAGCCUCCAGAAGAAACAGCUCUGCCAACCCCCUUAAUUAUGCCUGGAUGAGACCCACGCUAGACUUCUGACCUCCAAAAGUGUAAGAUAAUGAUUUUGUGUUGUGCUAUGCCACUAAGUAUUUGAAGUUACCGCAGGAACGAAACAGUUGCUCUUGAUGACGGUUGCUGAAAUGGCCAAGCUCGUGGGCUUUGGAGCCAGGCCGCCUGAUUUCAAAUCUCUGAUGUGUGGUUUUCCAGCUGCGUGACCUUGGGCAGUUUGCUUCACCUUUAUGGGCCUCUGGUUUCUCAUCUCUCAAAUUGGGCCUGAUCUUUGGACCAGAAAGGAAUUAAAAAGUUGCCCCUUACGAUGGCUGUGCCUUGUCAGUUGCCUGGAGCUGCACUCAAGGAUUUCCGGAGCCUUGUGGAUUUACAGUGAUAUUCAGCUGCCUGGGGGAGGACCGUGGAGGAAGCAUUCUCUGGAAUCACACAUUUGGAUGCUAAUGGCGGUUUUCAGGAAGGCCCUGGCUGAGCGCCUGGCGGAUCCCUGCACCUGGACGCCUGUGGGGGACAGAGGACCGCAGCUUCCUGGGACGCCUGAGAUCUCUGCCCUUAUUUCCGCAUGAGUGUUUGGUUGGGUCGCUGCCAGCCUCCCCGAGGGCGCCCUGUGAAACAAUCCUGUCAUACCUCGGAUUUUGGUGCUGUAAGUCUGAAAAACAGACAUAAUCCAUUUGGUACUGUAGAGGGACUGUCCUUCCCUGAACUAAAGCUGGGCCAUUUGGGGAUUUGGAGAAUAAAGUGUGAGGACGAAACCAGAAGACUGUCUUUUGCAAACCAGGACCUGAAAUCUGCCAGCACCUAGGUCUUGGGCGUUCAGCCUCCAGGAACCUUGAGAGAUGUUAUUUAAGGAACCCCGUUGGUGGCGUCUUGCAAUGGCAGGCUGAGCAGACUGGGACACCAUAUCUCACUGAUGAAUGACCUGGAGACUCAGAGAGAUGGUGCUGGUGAGGCCUCCCUGCUGGCUGGUGGUGCAUCUCAAGUUUGCAUCUUCAGAGUCCGGGCACUCAGGCCUGCCCCACCUGAUCUGCAGGCUCUCUGGACUGUCUCUUUGUGGCCCCUCACUGCUCCAUCUGUCUGUCUGUCUGCCUCUCCUGUGAUUUUUCUCUGCCAUCUUCCUUUCUCUGUCUCCCAGAUUUUUCUUCUGAAGAUGAGGAUCUUUCUCUCAAGAGUGCCUCUUGGGGGAAGGGAGGAGAGGCUAAUGGGGCUGCACUGGGGUCCACCUCCGCAGCAC